rnacentral:rRNA from 1 species
AGUGAACGCUGGCGGUAGGCCUAACACAUGCAAGUCGAACGGCAGCACAGUAAGAGCUUGCUCUUACGGGUGGCGAGUGGCGGACGGGUGAGGAAUACAUCGGAAUCUACUUUUUCGUGGGGGAUAACGUAGGGAAACUUACGCUAAUACCGCAUACGACCUACAGGUGAAAGCAGGGGAUCUUCGGACCUUGCGCGAUUGAAUGAGCCGAUGUCGGAUUAGCUAGUUGUCGGGGUAAAGGCCCACCAAGGCGACGAUCCGUAGCUGGUCUGAGAGGAUGAUCAGCCACACUGGAACUGAGACACGGUCCAGACUCCUACGGGAGGCAGCAGUGGGGAAUAUUGGACAAUGGGCGCAAGCCUGAUCCAGCCAUACCGCGUGGGUGAAGAAGGCCUUCGGGUUGUAAAGCCCUUUUGUUGGGAAAGAAAAGCAGCAGGUUAAUACCCCGCUGUUCUGACGGUACCCAAAGAAUAAGCACCGGCUAACUUCGUG